GGGGGGCAUAGGGAGCCUACACAUGCAGUCGAGGGGGAACCACUUUCGGGUGGUGGAGACCGGCGCACGGGUGAGUCACUUGUGGGAAUUUACCUUGGAGUGGGGAAUAACCGCUGGAAACCUCGGCUAAUACCGCAUACGCCCUUAUGGGGAAAGCUUUAGCGCUCUGGGAUGAGCCCGCGUUAGAUUAGGUAGUUGGUGGGGUAAAGGCCUACCAAGCCGACGAUCUAUAGCUGGUCUGAGAGGAUGAUCAGCCACACUGGGACUGAGACACGGCCCAGACUCCUACGGGAGGCAGCAGUGGGGAAUAUUGGACAAUGGGGGCAACCCUGAUCCAGCCAUGCCGCGUGCGUGAAGAAGGCCUUAGGGUUGUAAAGCGCUUUCACUGGUGAAGAUGAUGACGGUAGCCAGAGAAGAAGCCCCGGCUAACUCCGUGCCAGCAGCCGCGGUAAUACGGAGGGGGCAAGCGUUGUUCGGAAUUACUGGGCGUAAAGGGCGCGUAGGCGGGAUGUCAAGUUAGGGGUGAAAGGCCUGGGCUCAACCUGGGAACUGCCUCUAAAACUGGCAAUCUAGAGUCCGGGAGAGGAUAGCGGAAUUCCCAGUGUAGAGGUGAAAUUCGUAGAUAUUGGGAAGAACACCAGUGGCGAAGGCGGCUAUCUGGUCCGGUACUGACGCUGAGGCGCGAAAGCGUGGGGAGCAAACAAGAUUAGAUACCCUGGUAGUCCACGCCGUAAACGAUGUGUGCUAGCCGUUGGGGCACGUUGGUGCUUCAGUGGCGCAGCUAACGCGUUAAGCACACCGCCUGGGGAGUACGGUCCGAAGAAUUAAACUCAAA
rnacentral:rRNA from 1 species